rnacentral:rRNA from 1 species
UACGUAGGGUGCGAGCGUUAAUCGGAAUUACUGGGCGUAAAGCGUGCGUAGGUGGUUUGUUAAGUCUGUCGUGAAAUCCCCGGGCUCAACCUGGGAAUGGCGAUGGAUACUGGCAAGCUAGAGUGAGGUAGAGGAGAGUGGAAUUCCCGGUGUAGCAGUGAAAUGCGUAGAGAUCGGGAGGAACAUCAGUUGCGAAGGCGGCUCUCUGGACCAUCACUGACACUGAGGCACGAAAGCGUGGGGAGCAAACAGG